GCCACUUUUCAAUACGUUUCAUGAGAAUGUCUCGCGUUUCUUAUUAUCUUCGAAUUAGUUUUGUUACAGAAUAGAUAGAUACAGGGUUCGUAAUGUCGUAGCUAAUUUUAGGCUGUAUAACAAUGAACCGGUCGUAAAAGAGCGAACAAGCAGUCAGCUAUUUUAAGUAUCGAGGUAUUUAUGUCGAACUUACAUAGGUCGAUUAUUGGAAAGUUUAACAUCUGUAAAUUCGUACUAUCAACUAGUGCAAUGUCCUAUGUCAGGAGAUUCGGACAGUCAUUAGUCAGACGACGGAAUUCUAACACGAGAACAAGUACUUUCUGCGUACUUUAUGCAAGUUGAAUUUGAAAAAUGAAAUUCCAUCACAGAAGUUAGAUUUUACUGUUAUUAAACAACAGAAGAAUAUUUCUAAAGAAAUUGUAAAUAAGAUUUUUCAUCGCUAAAGCGAUAUUUAAACUUCAUUGUUAAAAAUUGUAUUCCACCGAUAUUAUUGUAAUUCAAGAAUUAGAGAAAAAUGUUGAGAAAAUCUUUCAACGAUAUUGUACAAUUUUAAAUGAGAAUACCAGCAGGAAGCGAAUUUAGCGAUCGUAAUGGCGUGGUCAGAAAUUAUGUUCACAUUGAAAACUUGCCAAAGAACGAAUUUUCUAAGUGUGGCGGUUUCGCGUGAUCAGAUGAAGGGUAGGCGAGAAUGUAACAGAGGAAAAGGAAACUUUCGCACAUCGGCCUUCAAUGUUGAAACUUUAACUAUCAACCGAAGACAGCCAGCUCGACACGUUGCGGUGAAACGCUAGAAACCAUUUAACCCAGAAAAUAUCAAACGUCUGGACGUAUCAAAAGUUUCCUCUAACGCUGCUCGAGUUGAGGUUCGGAGAAGCUCUUUAGAAAUCAAUAACGUUAGCUCGAUGGAGAUACCAAACUUUGUCGAUUUUCGACGAAUAAUUAAUUGAGAAAUCUCAUUUAGCUUGAAAUUUCUAUCGUUGAUAUAUAUAUAUAUAUAUUUUGGUAGAGUAUUUGUUUAGCCCCUUUAAUUUUUAUAACGAAUUCUCAGUGAAAUUUGUAAAAAAAAAAAAAUAGUGGAGAAUAUGAUGUACUAUAUAGAAACCUGUAUAGAUACGUACGAACGUACUAAGUAGAUUCAGAGUGCAAUUGGUCGGACAAACGAAAUCUGGUACUAAAAUAAACCAUUUUACGUAAAAUGAUUACAAAUACGAAGCAAGUGAUAAACACGAAGUAAAUUGGAGUUUGCUUAUAAAUAUUGGACCUAUCUAUGAAACAAAUCGAACAAAUAGAUAAACGUGUUUAAUUCUCUUCUUUCAAGACCAUGCUCUCCGAUAUUAAAAAAAAAAAAAAAAAA